CAGUCGCCGCGGUAAUACGUAGGUGGCAAGCGUUGUCCGGAAUUAUUGGGCGCAAAGGGCUCGCAGGCGGUUUCUUAAGUCUGAUGUGAAAGCCCCCGGCUCAACCGGGGAGGGUCAUUGGAAACUGGGAAACUUGAGUGCAGAAGAGGAGAGUGGAAUUCCACGUGUAGCGGUGAAAUGCGUAGAGAUGUGGAGGAACACCAGUGGCGAAGGCGACUCCCUGGUCUGUAACUGACGCUGAGGAGCGAAAGCGUGGGGAGCGAACAGGAUUAGAUACCCGCGUAGUCCCUGUCUCUUAUAC
rnacentral:rRNA from 1 species